CAGGGGAGAUAUCAUGAUCACGAAGGUGGUUUUCCCAGGGCGAGGCUUAUCCAUUGCACUCUGGAUAUGCGGACCCCUGCAAUUUCCCCAAAAUGUGGGAAGCUCAACUG
ensembl:snRNA U1 U1 spliceosomal RNA